rnacentral:rRNA from 1 species
CCUACGGGAGGCAGCAGUGGGGAAUAUUGCGCAAUGGGCGAAAGCCUGACGCAGCGACGCCGCGUGAGGGAUGAAGGUCUUCGGAUCGUAAACCUCUGUCAGCAGGGAAGAACGGUCACUGUGUUAAUCAGCAGUGAAUUGACGGUACCUGCAAAGGAAGCACCGGCGAACUCCGUGCCAGCAGCCGCGGUAACACGGAGGGUGCGAGUGUUAAUCGGAAUUACUGGGCGUAAAGCGCUCGUAGGCGGUAUGUCAAGUCAAGGGUGAAAUCCCCGCGCUCAACGUGGGAACUGACUUUGAAACUGGCAAACUGGAGUAUGGGAGAGGAAGGUGGAAUUCCAGGUGUAGGAGUGAAAUGCGUAGAUAUCAGGAGGAACAUCAGUGGCGAAGGCGACUAUCUGGAACAUAACUGACGCUGAGGAGCGAAAGCGUGGGUAGCAAACAGGAUUAGAUACCCCUGUAGUC